rnacentral:lncRNA from 1 species
GACUGUAGAUCGGCAAUUAGGAGUGCAAAUUGGGGCUCCCUACUCCAAAUAGACUGUAGAUCGGCAAUUAGAAGUGCAAAUUGGGGCUUGUGCGUCCAAAUAUCCUUGGAUGUGAAAACGAUUUGGGGGGAAAAGGUAACAAAAAUUCCUUGUGCCUUCUUCUAAUAUGUAAUUGUUAAGUAUACUAACCAGUUAAUAUGUUGUUUGUGGUGAACGAUGGAGUUCCAAGUCACUGUAGUUGAAGAGGGGUUGGGGGUUAUUUUUGUGGAAGUAUUUCAACUUCAUACCUUGUCCUACAAAAGUAACAUGAGAUCCUGAUCAUGGAUGUUAGCAAGUCAAUGGUAAAUAUCACAAUCCUUCUUCUCCAUUGGUGGUAUGUGUUGAAAAUUGUCUACAGUGAGGGCAUAUAUACUUCUUAAGUUGUGUGCCAGAUACUCUGAAAGCAUUUAGCAUUCGAUUUGUCCAUCUAAAUGGCAUUCU